AACGAACGCUGGCGGCAUGCCUAACACAUGCAAGUCGAACGAGACCUUCGGGUCUAGUGGCGCACGGGUGCGUAACGCGUGGGAACCUGCCCUUAGGUUCGGAAUAACUCCCGAAAGGGGUGCUAAUACCGGAUAAUGUCCUCGGACCAAAGAUUUAUCGCCUUUGGAUGGGCCCGCGUUGGAUUAGCUAGUUGGUAGGGUAAAAGCCUACCAAGGCGACGAUCCAUAGCUGGUCUGAGAGGAUGAUCAGCCACACUGGGACUGAGACACGGCCCAGACUCCUACGGGAGGCAGCAGUGGGGAAUAUUGGACAAUGGGCGAAAGCCUGAUCCAGCAAUGCCGCGUGAGUGAUGAAGGCCUUAGGGUUGUAAAGCUCUUUUACCCGGGAUGAUAAUGACAGUACCGGGAGAAUAAGCUCCGGCUAACUCCGUG
rnacentral:rRNA from 1 species